rnacentral:lncRNA from 10 species
UGUGGAACAUCAUGGCGGCCUGUAUUUGCAUAUUCAAAGGCUAGGGUGGGAGGGUCAGUUUUUUCCAGGGCUACGUAAAUGACAUGCAAUGAUACAGACAAGACAAACAGAGUCUCCUCCUUCAUGGAACUUACAUGAGUGGGACGGACAACAAACAAAUGGUCCAGACGAUUUCAGAUAGUGUUCACUUUGAGGCUGCAUUGUGGGCCUGCAAGAAAUGCAAAGGUAUAGUGUCAGCUCUUCAGCAUCUUAUAGUCAGGUUUGGGGUCAAAAGCCUAGAAAGGUACAGGCCCUGAAAACAGAUAUCAGACAAUGCCAAAGUGAGAUUCCAAAGCAGAGUUUUUAUGAGCGCACCAUAGAAUGUCUUAAUAUUCAGGGCUUUAGGAAAUGAAUCAUAUGCAGAAACAUCUUAGUCUAAAAUAAACUCCUUUUCCAGACCCAGGAAUAAAGACUUUGCUAUUUCUGUCAAUAGAAAUUAAUUUAUAUCUGUCUGAGAAUUCAGAAGCUGUUGAAGCAUUGAAUUUGCAGUAAUAGGGAGCUCUUAUAAAUCACCAACUGUCAUUAAUCAACACGAAUUCUUUGCUAUUUAUAUUUUUAUUUCAAAGGUCAAAUGCAUUUUAAAGUUGUAUAAUGCAUUUUAUUCUAUGUCUAGAAUAUGAUUUUUAAGCUUCCCUUAAGAUAUCUUUACUUUUCAAAUUAACUAUCAAACUGAUAGCUCAUCAGAUCUAAUUAAUUAUUUUAUGUGUCUGGUAUCUAGUAGGUGUUUAAUACAUGUCUGUUGAAGAAGUUUAUUCAACAAAUUUUUCUUGUUCACCCUCUAUGUACUAGGCACUCUUAUACAUGUCGGAGAUACAGCAAAAAAUAAACAACAAAGUUCCUGAGAGUUGAUAAUAUGAUGGAAG